rnacentral:tRNA from 1 species
GGAGGUAAAAGAUCAGUGGUAGAGUGCAUGCUUAACAUGCACGAGGUCCUGAGUUCAAACCCCAGCACCUCCA